AUCACAUUGCCAGUGAUUACCC
rnacentral:miRNA from 4 species